rnacentral:rRNA from 1 species
GUCUGCUUGGAGGUAUAAGAAGUCUAGCCUGCUCUCUGAUAAUUUUAAGGGCCGCGGUAAUUUGACCGUGCAAAGGUAGCAUAAUAGUUAGUUUUUUAAUUGGAAUCUUGUAUGAAUGGUUGGACAAAAGAAAUACUGUCUCUAUUAUUUUAAUUGAAUUUAACUUUUAAGUGAAAAGGCUUGAAUAAGUUAAAAAGACGAUAAGACCCUAUAAAGCUUUAUAAAAAAUGUAUAUUUAUUUAAUAUAAAUGAUAAAGAUUUAAUAUAUAUUUUUAUUUUAUUGGGGAGAUAAAAUUAUAAUUUAGUGUAACUGAGUUAAAGUUAGACAAAAAUAAGUGUAUAAAAAAAUUAAAAGAUCCUGUUUAUGGAUUUAAAGUUCAAGUUACUUUAGGGAUAACAGCGUUAUUUUUCUUGAGAGUUCAUAUCGAAAGAAAAGAUUGCGACCUCGAUGUUGAAUUAAAAUUUCUAGAUUAUUGCAGAAGUAAUCUUAGAAGGUCUGUUCGACCUUUAAAUUUUUACAUGAUUUGAGUUCAGACCGGCGUAAGCCAGGUCGGUUUCUAUCUUUUAAAGAGUAAAAAAUCAUUUUAGUACGAAAGGAUUUAGUGAUUAAAUUAAAUUUAAGAUUUGGUGUUAUUUUGGCAGAGGUAUAUGUGUGGGA